UAGGGAAUCUUCGGCAAUGGGGGCAACCCUGACCGAGCAACGCCGCGUGAGUGAAGAAGGUUUUCGGAUCGUAAAGCUCUGUUGUAAGUCAAGAACGAGUGUGAGAGUGGAAAGUUCACACUGUGACGGUAGCUUACCAGAAAGGGACGGCUAACUACGUGCCAGCAGCCGCGGUAAUACGUAGGUCCCGAGCGUUGUCCGGAUUUAUUGGGCGCAAAGCGAGCGCAGGCGGUUUGAUAAGUCUGAAGUUAAAGGCUGUGACUCAACCAUAGUUCGCUUUGGAAACUGUCAAACUUGAGUGCAGAAGGGGAGAGUGGAAUUCCAUGUGUAGCGGUGAAAUGCGUAGAUAUAUGGAGGAACACCGGUGGCGAAAGCGGCUCUCUGGUCUGUAACUGACGCUGAGGCUCGAAAGCGUGGGGAGCGAACAGGAUUAGAUACCCUGGUAGUCCACGCCGUAAACGAUGAGUGCUAGGUGUUGGAUCCUUUCCGGGAUUCAGUGCCGCAGCUAACGCAUUAAGCACUCCGCCUGGGGAGUACGACCGCAAGGUUG
rnacentral:rRNA from 1 species